UGUUUUGAUCCAGAGGUUAAAAGUUACACCGCGCAUGGCAUUCUGGGAAAUGUAGUAAUACCAGUAGAGUUGUUGCUUUGAAUCGCUUUAAUGUAUCAAUAACAUGACUACAUUCCCCAGUAUGCAACUCAACUCACUAUGCAACUCAAUGUUUGUAGUUUGUUAGCUGGCUAGGUAAGUCAGAGGUUUUCAAAUCGAUAUUGUCCAAUAAUCAAUACUUAGUUAAAGGAAGUGCAUGCCAUUCCGGAUCCAUACAAUAUGUUCGUUUUAAUAUAUAUAUAUAUAUUUUUGUCUGCACAUUGUUAGCUAGCUAGUAAUGUUAUCUCACUGCUAUCUGAAGACGUUACAGCUAGCCUACAGUAGUUUGGAAAUGGUUAGAUAUCGCUCCAGCCGUAAUUGAUCUCUCUGGAGUGUCAAAGUCACUCGGGUUUUUUAGCAGGGAGUUCACAGUCAGCUCCACUAAAGUCUCCAUAGGCAGAAUGAUGGCGUACACUUGUGCUGUCUGUGUAUCUGCCUACACAUAUUCUGAUUUACUGAGAACACAGCCGUUCUCUCCAGUGUCAUAAUCAUCUUCCUUGUCGGUAUGAUGGUUCACAUCCACUUUGUGAAGGUGGACCAUGUGACACUCAUCAUUGGUUCCCUGGGUGACCAGGUGUCUUCUAGCCACGCCUCCUGCACGGAAUCCUACAGACUUCAUAGAGAUGGGCAAGAUCAAAGACAUAGUAAAUUAAAAUGAAGCUAUUGUGAGGUUCUGUGUUGUACACUAUAGCCCGUUACCAUAUCAUAUGUGAUGGAAUAUUAUUUGCUGUUGGCUUGUGUGGGUAUAUGUGUUAUGCAACAUAGCUGACUUGAGACAUCGUUAACAGUUUCAGGGCCAUGGGCCUUUCUCGUGAUGGAAAAAAUACAGAAUAACAUGAAGACAGGACCUGUGCAAUGAGUUGUGGGGGCACAUUCAGAACGUAGUGUUGCGAGAACAAACAGUCUUUUGUUAGAGAACAGGAGCCAGGUGUUGUGAUAACUCUAUUGAGUGUGUGAGCGCAUAUAUAUUCUACACAACUACAACGACUGACCGCUGAAGCGCUUAGGGGGCUGGGACCAGCUCGGGCGCUAACAAUCAACGAUAGGCUGGGUGAGUUUAAACCACGCCCAGUCUCUACUCUGACAGGCCGGCUCGGAAGCAGGAACUACUUCUGUCAAGAGUAUAUUAUAAUAUCUUUGUCAGGAACAAGUCAGUUCUCUGUUUGCCCUGCGAGGUGGGACAGAGAGCCUGUAUAUACUGAAAUUGCAUUUACCACUUAUUGCUUAGCUAAUAAAAAAUACAUAGCAUACAA